UACAGAGGAGCCAAGCGUUGUCCGGAUUGACUGGGCGUAAAGCGCACGCAGGCGGUCGCGCGCGUGGGGUGUGAAAUCUGGCCGCUUAACGGCCAGGCGCCAUCCCAUACGGCGCGACUGGAGUGAUGCAGAGGUCGAUGGAAUUGCCGGUGUAGUGGUGAAAUGCGUAGAGAUCGGCAGGAACACCCAGGGGGGAAACCAGUCGACUGGGCAUCUAC
rnacentral:rRNA from 1 species